rnacentral:tRNA from 1 species
GGGGAUGUAGCUCAGUGGUAGAGUACUUGCCUAGCAGGCACAAGGCCCCGGGUUUGAUUCCCAGCACCA